rnacentral:rRNA from 1 species
CAUGCAAGUCGAACGAGAAAGCGUUCUUCGGAACGCGAGUACAGUGGCGGACGGGUGAGUAACACGUGGGGAACCUGCCCACAAGCUGGGAACAACCCGCCUAACGGCGGGCUAAUACCGAAUGUGGUUGUCAAUCCGCAUGGUAUGACAACUAAAGGUGGCCUCUCCUUGGAAGCUGCCGCUUGUGGAUGGCCCCGCGCUCAAUUAGCUAGUUGGUAGGGUAACGGCCUACCAAGGCUACGAUUGAUAGCCGACCUGAGAGGGUGAUCGGCCACACUGGGAUUGAGAUAAGGCCCAGUCUCCUACGGGAGCCAGCAGUCUAGAAAUUUGGGCAAUGGGCGAAAGCCUGACCCAGCGACGCCGCGUGGGGGAUGAAGCUUCUCGGAGUGUAAACCCCUGUUUGGUGGGACGAAAGCCCGUAUAUGAAUAGUAGGCGGGUUUGACGGUACCACCCGAGGAAGCUCCGGCUAACUCCGUGCCAGCAGCCGCGGUAAUACGGGGGGAGCAAGCGUUGUUCGGAGUUAUUGGGCGUAAAGGGCGUACAGGCGGUGGUGUCAGUCAGAUGUGAAAUUCCCCGGCUCAACCGGGGACCUGCAUUUGAUACUGCAUCACUUGAGUACAGGAGAGGAGAGCGGAAUUUUCGGUGUAGCGGUGGAAUGUGUAGAUAUCGAAAAGAACACCAGUGGCGAAGGCGGCUCUCUGGCCUGAUACUGACG